rnacentral:rRNA from 1 species
UACGUAGGGAGCGAGCGUUAUCCGGAUUUAUUGGGCGUAAAGCGUGUGUAGGCGGCUUGUUAAGUCUAAGAUUAAAGCCCGAGGCUCAACCUCGGUUCGUCUUAGAAACUGGCUCGCUUGAGUGUGGUAGAGGCAAACGGAAUUUCUAGUGUAGCGGUAAAAUGCGUAGAUAUUAGAAGGAACACCGGUGGCGAAGGCGGUUUGCUGGGCCAUUACUGACGCUGAGACACGAAAGCGUGGGGAGCAAAUA